GUAAACGUGUAUGUUCAUCAAUUGAGAGUUCUGCAGGUUAUACUGAAUUUUUACAGACCAUUAUCUGACAAGCUGCCUCUUACUCUUUUAUGUAUGUUGACUUGGCAAUGUGUAUUAAUGUGAUUAUAAGAUUGGUGGUUUCGCCAAAUAAAUAACCUAUGGACAGAUUGAUUACAAAAAACCCGAAAGUUGUUCUCUCACCAUUGAGAAUUCCGAUUACACGUAGUAUUCAUUUGCCGUUAAAUUAUAGACAAUUACUUUUUUCUAAACCUACAGUCAAAUUAAGUUUACUUCGAACAUCUUUCAUUGGAGGUACAAUGCGGCUGGGUUCUAGUUCGCAGCGUAAUUUAGCUCCGUGUAAUCGGUAUCCUACAAUAAAUAAGUGCAACUCCAGGAAGUGUUUAUGUUGCAAGUUUUUAAAUAUGUCCUCUUUUAUUCUUUCAUCGGUUAAUAACCGCAAAUUUUCAGUUAAUAUUAAAUCCGAUGUCUCAUGAAAUUCUA